CGUUCCUAAUUUUUCUACCGUGCAGCCACAAGCGCAGCAUCACAGCACCGUCGCCAGUUUUCAGUCGCCAACUGCCAACCAUCAGGUAUUUCAGGAGUCUGUUGUGCCUGAAAAGAAAGUAAUAGUUGCCGUGAAGCAAGGAAACUGCUUUCCACCCUGUGUUCACUGCAGACACCAGAUGGUAUGAAUAUGUUAACAUUCAAUUAAGUUCUUCAAUUUUGCUCAUGAUCUCAUCUGAGGUUUUAAAUGUUUCUCAAUUUUGGUUGUUAAGUAAAAGUGGUAAAUGGUUUGUUUGUGCAGUUAUUGCAUUUGUGUUAAGCAGAAAGCAUAUCUUACCUUGAUGAGGUUGCCAGCCUCCUGGAAGCCUGGAUUCGGCAAAAUCUGUUGCGCUUGAGGUUGCUGGUUAUGGAAGUUUUAUUUUUGGAUAGAGAAUUAUAUUCAGAGUUGUUUACCUGGAUGCUUGUAUUUAAUACAAUAAUUAUAAUG